CGUGUAGGCGGUAUCAUAAGUCAGAUGUGAAAGCCCUAGGCUUAACCUAGGAGGUGCAUUUGAUACUGUGAAACUAGAGAUUGAGAGAGGAUAGUGGAAUUACGAGUGUAGAGGUGAAAUUCGUAGAUAUUCGUAAGAACACCAGUGGCGAAGGCGACUUUCUGGCUCAAUACUGACGCUAAGGCGCGAAAGCGUGGGGAGCAAACA
rnacentral:rRNA from 1 species